UGGGGAAUAUUGGACAAUGGGGGGAACCCUGAUCCAGCCAUGCCGCGUGUGUGAAGAAGGCCUUAUGGUUGUAAAGCACUUUAAGCGAGGAGGAGGGUACUGGUAUUAAUACUACCAGGUACUGGACGUUACUCGCAGAAUAAGCACCGGCUAACUCUGUGCCAGCAGCCGCGGUAAUACAGAGGGUGCGAGCGUUAAUCGGAUUUACUGGGCGUAAAGCGUGCGUAGGCGGCUAAUUGAGUCGGAUGUGAAAUCCCCGAGCUUAACUUGGGAAUUGCAUUCGAUACUGGUUAGCUAGAGUGUGGUAGAGGAUGGUAGAAUUCCAGGUGUAGCGGUGAAAUGCGUAGAGAUCUGGAGGAAUACCGAUGGCGAAGGCAGCCAUCUGGCCUAACACUGACGCUGAGGUACGAAAGCAUGGGGAGCAAACAGG
rnacentral:rRNA from 1 species